GGGGGUGUUAAACAGGGCUAAGUCUUGUAGUUGGAAUGAUGGGAAUUUAAACCUCUUCCAAAGUAUCAAUUGGAGGGCAAGUCUGGGGCCACCAGCCGCGGAAAUUCCACCUCCAAUAGCGAAUAUUAAAAUUGUUGCAGUUAAAAAGCUCGUAGUUGAAUUUCUGCUGCAUUGCUUGUGUCCCUCUGGGGUCUGUGCAUGUGGCUUUUUUCGGACGGAGUUUCUUUGUCUGAAUGUUUACUUUGAGAAAAUUAGAGUGCUCAAAGCAGGCUUUCGCCUUGAAUAAUUUAGCAUGGAAUAAUAGAGUAGGACUUUGGUUCUAUUUUGUUGGUAUAGGUACCAAAGUAUUGGUUAAUAGGAACAGUUGGGGGAUUCGUAUUUAAAUAAUAGGGAGAGGUGGGGGCAUUCAAAUUAAAACCGCAUCCGUCAAUUGGUGGGUGUAUUCGUAUUUAAAGGAGAGUUGAGUAG
rnacentral:rRNA from 1 species